rnacentral:rRNA from 1 species
GACGAACGCUGGCGGCGUGCUUAACACAUGCAAGUCGAACGGAAAGGCCCUGCUUUUGUGGGGUGCUCGAGUGGCGAACGGGUGAGUAACACGUGAGUAACCUGCCCUUGACUUUGGGAUAACUUCAGGAAACUGGGGCUAAUACCGGAUAGGAGCUCCUGCUGCAUGGUGGGGGUUGGAAAGUUUCGGCGGUUGGGGAUGGACUCGCGGCUUAUCAGCUUGUUGGUGGGGUAGUGGCUUACCCAGGCUUUGACGGGUAGCCGGCCUGAGAGGGUGACCGGCCACAUUGGGACUGAGAUACGGCCCAGACGCCUACGGGAGGCAGCAGUGGGGAAUAUUGCACAAUGGGCGGAAGCCUGAUGCAGCAACGCCGCGUGCGGGAUGACGGCCUUCGGGUUGUAAACCGCUUUCGCCUGUGACGAAGCGUGAGUGACGGUAAUGGGUAAAGAAGCACCGGCUAACUACGUG